CCUACGGGAGGCAGCAGUGGGGAAUAUUGCACAAUGGGGGAAACCCUGAUGCAGCGACGCAGCGUGAGUGAAGAAGUCAUUCGUUAUGUAAAGCUCUAUCAGCAGGGAAGAAAAUGACGGUACCUGAGUAAGAAGCCCCGGCUAACUACGUGCCAGCAGCCGCGGUACUACGUAGGGGGCAAGCGUUAUCCGGAUUUACUGGGUGUAAAGGGAGCGUAGACGGCAGUGCAAGUCUGGAGUGAAAGGCGGGGGCUCAACCCCCGGACUGCUCUGGAAACUGUACGGCUGGAGUGCAGGAGAGGUAAGUGGAAUUCGUAGUGUAGCGGUGAAAUGCGUAGAUAUUAGGAGGAACACCAGUGGCGAAGGCGGCUUACUGGACUGUAACUGACGUUGAGGCUCGAAAGCGUGGGGAGCAAACAGGAUUAGAUACCCCGGUAGUC
rnacentral:rRNA from 1 species